rnacentral:lncRNA from 1 species
UUUUUUUUUUUUUUAAACAUUCAUAACCAGAGACUUUGAGUUCCUAUCAUGGCUCAGUGGAAACCAAUCUGACUAGCAACCUCGAAGACACAGGUUCGAUCCCUGACAUCACUCAGGGGGUUAAGGAUCCGGUGUUGCCACGAGCUAUGGUGUAGUUCUUCGACACAGCUCGGAUCCCAUGUUGCUGUGGCUGUGGCAGACUGGCAGCCAUAGCUCUGGUUUGACCCCUAGCCUGGGAACCUCCAUAUGCCACGAGUGUGGCCCUAAAAAGACCAAAAAAAAAAAAAAAAAAAAACCCAGAGACUUAGGUUCUUAAUUGUACAUUCAGAAGAAUUUAUGUGACUGUAAGUGAAAUUAGAAAAAGAACUGAAAAUUCUUCACCGAAACUUUAAGAAAGUCUUUGCCAAAACACAUAGGAGACUCAUACAAACCAUAAAAGUUUGCCUAAACAAACGUGUUUUUUUUGGAGUUCCCAUCAUGGCUCAGUGGUUCACGAAUCCGACUAGGACCCAUGAGGUUUCGGGUUUGAUCCCUGGCCUCGCUCAGUGGGUUAAGGAUCCGUCGUUGCCAUGAGCUGCGGUGUAGGUUGCAGACGCAGCUCGGAUCCCACGUUGCUGUGGCUGUGGUGUAGACUGGCAGCUACAGCUCUGAUUAAACCUCUAGCCUGGGAACUUCCAUAUGCCUCGGGUGCAGCUCUAGAAGACCAAAAAAAAAAAAAGUGUUUUUUUAUUCCAUCAUAGUAUCUUGAUAGCUAAAUACGUUGGUCAAGUAAUUGAUCUAGAAAUCAUUAUUUAGACCUUGAAACUUCCUAGCAAGCAUUUUGGUGGUAGAGAAAACAUUGCAUUUGAAAACUUUUUUAAGAUUUUAAAAACAAGCAGGCCAGGGUUGGGGGUGGGCAAAAUGGGUGCAAGGGGUCAAAAGGCACAGACUUUCAGUUAUAAAAUUAAAAAGUCUUGAGAUGGACAGAUGUUUGAGAUCACUCGUAUGUGGAAUUGAAUAAAAAUGAUACAGUAGAACGUACAAAACAGAAACACACUCAAAGAUUUCAAAACCAAACUUCUGUUUGCAAAGGAGAAAUGUGGGGUGGGGGAUAGGUUAGGGGGUUGGGACUGAUAGGUACACACCAGUAUAUUCAAAAUAGACAGGUAACAGGGACCUACUGUGUAGCACAGGGAAAUUUACUCAGUACUGUAUAAUAACCUGUAUGGGAAAAGAAUCUGAAAAGCAAUGGCUGUAGGUAUGUAUACAACCACCCAACUGUGCUGUACACCUGAAAUUAACAUGACUUUGUAAGUCAACAACAUUCCAAUCUUUUUUUUUUUUUUCCUGCUUUUUAGGGCCCCACCCACAGCAUUUGGAGGUUCCCAGGCUAGAGGUUGGAGCCUACACCAUAGCAAUGUGGGAUCUAAGCCUUGUCUGCAACCUACAUCACAGCUCACAGCAACACCGGAUCCUUAACCUAUUGAGCAAGGCCAGGGGUCGAACCUGGCAUCCUCAUGCAGGCCAGUCAGAUUCAUUAACUGCUGAGCCACAACGAAAACGCCAUUCCAGUGAAUUUCUUUUAAAGUCUUGGGAUGUCAAUGUACAGCAUGGUGACUCCUUAUUAAUACUGUAUAUUGUAUGUUUGAAAAUUGCUGCGAGGCUAGAUCUUAAAAGUUCUUAGAAAGAAACUGUCACUAAGUGUGGCAAUGGAUAUUAACCAGACGUAAUGUGGUGGUCAUUUUGCAAUAGAUACACAUAUCAAAUCAUUUUGUUGGCUGCCUGAAACUAAUGUAAUGUUGGAUAUCUACUAUAUGCAAUUAAAAAGUAAACAACAAAUUAAAAACCAGCCAGGCCAGUUACACUUGAGUUGUAACUUCCAGUGUAAUUCAGAAUAACCAAGAUCUUUUUCAACUAAAGCACAUAUAGUGGUGACUGUAACUUGAAGGUUGACUUAGAAAAGAGUGCCCUUCCUUUGGAGCCUUUGUCGAAAUGAUUAAAGCAUUCAGGAAAGGCUGUCAGACCACUGAACCAUUUGCUAUCUUCAAUUAAACUGCAAGUCUCUACAUCAGCUCUUUUGUAAAUACUGUCUCAAUGGCUAAUGCUGCCUCUUAAAUUUUCAAAUCUUUUAAGAAUGUGUUACAAUUAAAAAAAGAAGCCCUGGGAUCAUUUUUAUGUUCCCACUAAGAUUGUGCUGAGCUGAAGGCUGUGACUCUCCCCUCUUUCAGGGACAGAGAAGGUCUCAGGUAUGUCUGUAUUUGUUUUCCCCAAAAGAGUUGAGUCCCUAUUACAGCGCGUUUUCUUUUUUUCAGUAAAGCUCAAAUACCUACAUGUUCUGAUGUGGACGAGUUUAACUGCUGAGAGUCCACACAGUACAAGCAUACGUCGUUUUAUUGUGUUUCGCAAAUACAGUAUUUUUUGCAAAUGGAGGGUUUGUGGCCGCCUUGCGUCUAGCGGUCUCUUGGCACCGUUUUUCCAGCAGCAUUGGCUCACUUUGUGUCUCUGUGUCACAUUUUGGCAAUUCUCGUGAUACUGCAGACUUUGUCAUCAUUAUCGUAUGUGUUAUGGUGAUCACUGAGCUUCGAUGUUACCAUGACAACUUGCGGAAGGCUCAGGUGAUGGCAUUUUUUAGCAAUAAAGUUUUUUCUUAAGUCAAGGCAUGGACCUUGUCUUUUUAGACCUAAUGCUGUGGCACACUUAAUAGUCAACAGUAUAGUGCAAACAUAACCUUGACAUGCACUGAGAAGCCAAAAAAUUCUUACAACUAGCUUUAUUGUGGUAUUUCGCUUUCUUGCAUGUAUGUGGUCUGGAACCGAACCUGCAGUAUCUCCGAGGUCUGCCUGUAAAUAUUGCACGCCUGUAGUCAGUUAGCCCGGGCUUUGAAGUAUCAGUAGUAUGGUUUAGAUUCAUACCCUGCAUCAGGUGUUCUGCUGUUUUUAUCUCAGUGAUAGUGCAAGAGAGUACACACCCUUGGUUUGGGGGUCACAUCAUGGUACAGAAUUAAAUUGCAAGAGGGUCUGCUUUGUCUCUGAGCUAACGUCACACAUUUUUCCUGUUCUGAUUUGUCCUCAUCCUCUCCUCUUGUCUAAUUAAGAAGUCACCAGUCACGCUGGCGUCCAGUUUGCAUGCUGUGUGUUUGUGCAGGACCGUCAGAGACAUAGGAUUUCAGAGCUGGGAAGUGUCUUAGACACCAGCCGGCCACAGCCUCAGGGGGCAGACAGGGACGCUGGGCCCAGGAAGUCCAGGAUGUCUACGUUACAAGGCAAAUCGGUGGCAAAACCAGCCCCUUCCCCAGGCCAGGCCAGCUCUCCUUUCCCGUCAUCCUUUCAAACUGGAGGACGCUCAGAGGUAUGGAAAGGAAGGAAAGAAAUUCCAAACACUGUAUCAUAACCAAAAGCAGUAAUGGAAAAGUGCCUGCUUCUUUUUCGUCACACCUGCACAAGUCCUGGCCGCAAAUCCUAGCUUUUCUUUUCUUUUAAAAUGUGUCUUAUUGAAGGAUAGUUGAUUUACGAUGUUGUGUUAAUUUCUGCUAUACAGCAGAGUAAUUCAGUUUUUUUAUAGACAUAUAUUCUUUUUCAUAUUCUUUUCCAUCACGGCUUAUCCCGAAUGUUGAAUAUAGUUCCCUGGGCUCUACGGGAGGACCUUUUGUUUCCAUUCUGUAUGUAAUAGUUUCCUCUGCUAACCCCACACUUCCAGUUCAUCCUUCCCUCACCCUCCCUCCCCACUGGCAACCACAAGUCUGGUCUCUGUGUCUGUGGGUCUGUUUCUGGUUUGUACAUAAUGUUCAGUUGUGUCAUAUUUUAGAUUCCACAUAUAAGUGAAAUCAUAUGGUAUUUGUCUUUCUCUUUCUGAUUUACCUCACUUAGUAUGAGACUCUCUAGUUCCAUCCACGUUGCUGCAAAUGGCAUUGUUUUGUUCUUUUUUUACGGCUGCGUAGUAUUCCAAUGUGUAUAUGUACCAGGCCUUCUUAAUCCAUUCAUCUGUUGAUGGACAUGUAGGUUGUUUUCAUGUUUCGGCUGUGGUGAACAGUGCUGCCAUGAACAUAGGGAUACGUGUAUCUUUUCACAUUAUAGUUUUGUCUGGAUAUAUGCCCAGGAACGGGAUUGCUGAUCAUAUGGCAACUCUAUUUUUAGCUUUUUGAGGAAUCUCCAUACUGUCUUCCAUGGUGGUUGAACCAAUUUACAUUCCCACCAACAGUGUAGGAGGGUUCCCUUUUCUCCACACCCUCUCCAGCAUUUGUUACUUGUAGAUUUGUUUUUUAAUGAUGGCCAGUCUGACGGUUGUGAGGUGUUUGGAUUUGCAUUUCUCUAAUUAGCCAUGUUGAGAAUCCCAGCUUUUCUGCCUGCUAGCAGUGUUGCGUUUCUUCAAGUCUCAGUUCCUCCAUCUGUGAAAUGGGAAGUAAGACCCACCAGGCAAGGUGGCAGGGAAGAUAUACAUGGUGUUGCCUCAGUGCCUGGCACACUGUAAGCACUCCGUAAUUAGAAAUGACCACAAAGCCAUUCGGUGGGUCUGGCUCUUCUCAGGUGCAAUUAGAAAUUGCACGUCCCAGCCAGCCCUGGGUUUGAGCCCAGCACACGGCUUCUGUGUAUGGCCCAGGGUCCGACUGAGGCUGACCCCAAGACACGUACGUAAGCAAAGAAUGGAAGGUCAUAUACUGAAAUGUGCCUGGUAGUUACUUUGAGCUGUGGGAUUAUGGGUCGUUUUGCAUUCACUUUCUACUAGCUGCAAUAAGCUUGUAUUGGUUAGACAACUGUAUAAAAGAAUUAAAAAAAUAAAAAUAAAAAAUAAGUUGUUUUACAGCUGCUAGUUUAUGUUUAUUAAGUUAUUGUCAAUGGUGAGUUUACCUCUUCAGAGAGUGAGCAAUGUUUGUGAUCCUGUGAAAUAGCAGAGUGAUGAAGGCAUUCUGUGCCACCUAAAUCUUCGAGGUAGAGAAGCUUUAGCUCUCAUCACCUCUUUGUGUCUAAAUAUAUGUGCCUGAGACUUCUUUCCUUUUUCAUAAAUAUGAUCUAUAUCCUUACGUUGUUAUGCGAAAGAAAUAACAACUAACAGAAGGACAAAAACAGGUGGCAUUGGUCAAACACAUGCGAUGCCCGGGGCAAAGCUGGAUGCGCUUGGAUCGCGCCAGCCGGGAGACCUGCGGCAGGUCCACCCUCCCUAUGCAGAUGGGCAGAGGUGCAAUGAAGAAGGACCAGGAACCCCUCUGUUUCAACAACACAGCGAUCACCACAAGCAGAGUGGUUCCCUGCAGCCCCAAGUUCUGGUCCAGGCUGCCACAGGGGCUGAACACCCCCGCCCGUCCCUGCCCCCCAAGAUUCUUGGCCAUGUCGGAAGCAGUCCCGGGUCUGUGCCCGGGAGAACAGAGCCUCUCACAGACAGAGGAAAGCACUUCAAGGGCAGAUAAUAAUCUUUUUGAUCACGUUGGAGAACAGGUAGUAUUUGGGUAGUUAGUUCACUUAAAAGCAUGAGGAAGGUUAGAUGGGGGCACGGCACACACUGUUUGCUGUACCCAGGCCUUUAAAAAAUAUUACGUUUUUAAACAGCUGGGAUGAUAUUUUGGUAUCCUCAGUGAUCCAUGUAUGUUAUCCGAGGCCCCAGACUGCCAGCGUCUACUCUGUCUUGUCUACGCUUUCUCAGACCCACCUGCUAGGUUUCUGUGGGAACCAGAACUUGAGUUCUAUGUGGGGAUCCACUGGAUGGGAUUGAGAGGCAGUAGGUUCAGAAGCAAAUGUCAGGAUUCCUAGCUUUGCCUGUGUGUGGCUGUUUUUAUUUUACUUAAAAAUGUUCAU